CAGGCAAGACCACUGCAGAGCGGUGAGUGCUCGAAGGCAGUGCAGCAGGCAAGGAGGAGGCCGAGAGAGUGCACUGGAAGGUGGCACUUUGCAAGGCAGACCCACAAAGAGGUCGGAAGGAGGCUAUGAAGGACACCUGUGAACCACCUUGCACCUGAGUUGGUUGAAUCCUCACAUGUGGAACCCGCAGAUACAGAAGGCUGAUUAUACAUUCCAAUGUGGAACAAACAACCUCGCACUUUACACUGGGCCCAGGAGGAGAACCCGAUUCCGUAAAGUCCUCCAAGGGCAAGGGGACAAGCGACCGGGAGGGCCAGGUCUUCAGGAUGGAGCGACCGCGGAGAGCAAGGCGGGCUGCUGCCAUCUUGGCCCGGGCGCCCCUCGCAG